GACAGACAGACAGGUGAGACAGACAGACAGGUGAGACAGACAGACAGACAGAGAGACAGACAGGUGAGACAGACAGGCAGACAGACAGAGAGACAGACGGGCUGUCAGAUGUUUGUGUACUCGGGGUUGUGUGUGUGUGUGUGUGUGUGAUCUGUUCUGGACUUUGUUCAUGUUUGCUGUGCACAGAUUAAAGUCCGGCUGCUCGGCUUCAAACUAACAGUAACUGGAACAUAAACUUCUCGAGGUUAAACAGAAUAAAACCAAGCGGCUCUGAACGCUAAACCACGAAGGAGCAGCAGCGGAGUCCGUCUCUUCUGACUCGUUCCCAAAAUGUCCGACUGUCUUUAAUGUGACGCGUCUGGCUGAAGCCCGGCGGCCGGGCGAGCUCGCUGAGGUCACGCGCCCCGUGGCACUUUGUUCAGACGGGGUUUUACUGUCGUCUUGGAAAAAGAAGCGUAACAGACUAAAAUAAAAACGCAAACAUUAAGAAA